rnacentral:rRNA from 1 species
UACGUAGGGUCCAAGCGUUAUCCGGAUUUAUUGGGCGUAAAGCACAUGUAGGUGGUUUUAUACGUCUUGUCUUAAAGCUCUGGGCUCAACCCAGAAUCUGGACGAGAUACUGUAAGACUAGUGGUCAGCAGGGGCAAACGGAAUUCCCGGUGUAGGAGUGAAAUCCGUUGAUAUCGGGAGGAACACCAAUGGCGAAGGCAGUUUGCUAGGCUGAUUCAGACACUGAGAUGUGAAAGCGUGGGGAGCGAACGGG